rnacentral:lncRNA from 1 species
GAAGGGAAAAUGGCAGCAAAUAGUAUGUUAAAAUUUGGAUUUUAUGCCUAGAGACUUCUCGGGAAUUUUAAAUAAAACUAGAGUUAUUUUUUACGGGAAAAGAUUUUGAAAUCCAGAUUUAAAAUGUGUAAGAUAACAAAAAGAAUAAGGAGAAACAUUAGGAGGAGUAUGGUGUGUGGCAAGGUGACCACUAUAUGAGUGAGGUCUGGAGGUGCACUUGAGACUAAAUGGUUGAAACAGAUUGCAUAGGGAGCAUUCGGUAGACCACUGGUUGUCUAGAAAGAAACUGAAUGUGUUCGUUUCUGAAUUAUCAACAGAAGCUUCUGGUGAAGACAUAAUGCUCAAUUUCAGAUUAAAUUUCCUGUUCUAUAACUCGUUUUCCC